UCUUGAUCUGUUGAUGCCAUUGGAAAACAGAUUUAGGCCUUUCUCCUUCCUAACCGUCAGCCUGGAUUCCACUGCAGGGCCCAGCAGGACGAACCAGGGUACCGUCAGUUCUGUCCCUGCAGUUGGUUUGGUGCAGGAGCUACAAAUCUGAACCAAAUCAAAUGUCUAAGAAAUGUGAAAAAAA